CCAGACUCCUACGGGAGGCAGCAGUGGGGAAUAUUGCACAAUGGGGGAAACCCUGAUGCAGCGACGCCGCGUGGGUGAAGAAGCGCUUCGGCGCGUAAAGCUCUGUCAGCAGGGAAGAAAAUGACGGUACCUGAAGAAGAAGCCCCGGCUAACUACGUGCCAGUAGCCGCGGUAAUACGUAGGGGGCAAGCGUUAUCCGGAUUUACUGGGUGUAAAGGGGGCGCAGACGGCGAUGCAAGCCAGAAGUGAAAGCCCGUGGCUCAACCGCGGGACUGCUCUUGGAACUGCGUGGCUGGAGUGCAGGAGGGGCAGGCGGAAUUCCUGGUGUAGCGGUGAAAUGCGUAGAUAUCAGGAGGAACACCGGUGGCGAAGGCGGCCUGCUGGACAGUAACUGACGUUGAGGCCCGAAAGCGUGGGGAGCAAACAGGAUUAGAUACCCGCGUACG
rnacentral:rRNA from 1 species